CCAUAUGUGUGCAAGUCAGGGGCUCACAGAAAGGUCACCGUGGUGCAAUGAGGUGAAGGCCAGGCUUUACCGGCUGAGGCGGAACCCCAAGGCCUCUCCAGUCUGUUGAGGGCACACCACCAGCCCAUCUCGCCUGCCCUGCCAGAAGGUGGAGGAACACAAGUGUACAUGUUAGCAUCUGAACGGCGGUGAAUUAUGCAUGUCAAAGGCAGAGGAGACUCUGCAGGGGGUCUGCACCAGUCCUCAUGUGCAAAUCAGUAGUCUGACCUGGGUAGAGGGGCAAAAAACUAAAUAUACCGUCUACUAGCUGG
rnacentral:ncRNA from 1 species